rnacentral:rRNA from 1 species
UCCGCAGGUGGGUUGGCAAGUCAUUGGUGAAAUUUCCAGGCUCAACUUGGAACCUGCCAAUGAUACUGCUGAUCUUGAGUGCGGGAGAGGAAGACGGAAUUCCUGGUGUAGCGGUGAAAUGCGUAGAUAUCAGGAAGAACACCGGUGGCGAAGGCGGUCUUCUGGCCCGCUACUGACACUCAUGGACGAAAGCGUGGGGAGCAAACA